CUGCUUCUCGGUCCGGGUCCUGCUGAAUACUGUGGAUGUAAAUACCAACCGAGCCUUCAUAGGCAGUGGCAACAGGAUUGAGACGGGGCUUGUGAGGGCCGGUCAGGACUCACCCGUUGCUUUGGUCAACCGGCAAAGGGAACGAAAUGCUGCCAUUCGCAUGGGAUACCAACAUGGCAGAGAUCUGAUGUCAUCAGAAAGCAGCGGAGGAGAGAACAUCAUCAAUACCAGCGGCGACAGAAACAGUUGGUCUCCUGGUAAAGAAAGUGAGUCACAAACACCCGAGUCUCUCUCACUUUGUCAUCAAGCCAGAGGGGCAGAGCAGAGCCACCGCCCGCGCCCGGAACAGGCCCAGCGGCCCGCCGGCGUGGUAGUCACGUGACCCCAAUUGGAGUAGGGGCAGAGCAGAGCCGCCACCCGCGCGCGCAAGGUAGGCAGACCUGCGACAGACCGGCGGAUCAGGCCCAGCUAUCUGCCAGCGUGGUACACACAUCACCCCAAUUGGAGCACGGGCAGAGCAGAGCCGCUGCCUGCGCCCGGAACAGGCCCAGCGACCUGCCGGCGUGGUAGUCACGACACCCCAAUUGGAGUAGGGGCAGAGCAGAGCCGCCACCCGUGCCCGCAAGGUAGGCAGACCUGCGACCGACCAGCGGAACAGGCCUAGUGGCCGGCUGGCGUGGUAGGCAUGUCACCCCAAUUGGAGUAGGGGCAGAGCAGAGCCUUCGCCCGCGCCCAGAACAGGCCCAGUGGUCCGCGGGUGUGGUAGACAAGUCACACCAAUUGAAGGAGGGGUGCUGCAGUCUGGCUGGGCACAAAUCACGAGCCACUAAAGCAGGAACAACCAUUAUUUUUAAACUGCAGGAAAACACUUCACACAGCUCCCGGGGAAUCCUCCCGAACACCACGAGGCUUGUCCAGCAACCCCCAGCCGGAAAUAUCUCUCCCGGAAAUCCCUCCUCCUGCACUUCCCCAACCAAUGGGAACUCUCGGGGAAUCCCCGGAAAUCCCCACGAGAACUCCAAAAUAGUGCGAGAACUCAAAAGUUGCGGCAGAGGCGGAGAGUAAUGCCUUGCCUGUCAAUCAAUACUGUUGGCAAAAUGCCAGGGGCCAUACAGACUCGGCCAUGGCUCUCAGCAUCUCCCC
rnacentral:lncRNA from 1 species